CCUACGGGAGACAGCAGUGAGGAAUAUUGGUCAAUGGCCGGAAGGCUGAACCAGCCAUGCCGCGUGAAGGUCAGUGCCCUUUGGGCGUUAAACUUCUUUUGUGCGGGAGCAAUAAUGGUCACGUGUGGCCAGACGAGAGUACCGUACGAAUAAGCAUCGGCUAACUCCGUUCCAGCAGCCGCGGUAAUACGGGGGAUGCAAGCGUUAUCCGGAUUUAUUGGGUUUAAAGGGUGCGUAGGCUGUGAGUUAAGUCAGCGGUGAAAAGCCCCCGCUCAACGGGGUGAAGUGCCAUUGAUACUGCCUUGCUGGAAUGCGGAUGCGGUAGGAGGAAUGUGUGGUGUAGCGGUGAAAUGCAUAGAUAUCACACAGAACACCGAUUGCGAAGGCAUCUCACGAAUCCGCGAUUGACGCUGAUGCACGAAAGCGUGGGUAUCAAACAGGAUUAGAUACCCUUGUAGUC
rnacentral:rRNA from 1 species